UCCCGAGUAGCUCAGCCGGUUAGAGCACUUGACUGUUAAUCAGGGGGUCGUCAGUUCGAGUCUGACCUCGGGAGCCA
rnacentral:tRNA from 2 species